GAGUGACUCAGUUAUGGGGUGCAGAAGCAGCACAAGCGAUCUUGACAUUUACUUGGUGAAUCAUCCCCAACAGCACUUGACGAUGGUUUCCUGCUCGAUAAGGAUGAAUCCAUAACUGAGAACUGAGGAUGAAACUUCUCUCAACACCGCAUUGUAUGAAGACAAAGCAACUCAGUGUGGUUCGUCAUCGUCAACAACAGAUUCAGACUCAGCUGACGUUGGAGACUGUCAAGUUGCGAUCAAUGACUGUGCCUAUCAGGGUUGAGUGUUACAUACUGAACGAAGUGAUCCAAAGCUUUAUAUUGUCACUACGCACGCAAGAGACAUGGACAUGCUCUCUUUAUAUUCAGAUCAAAGCAAUGCCAAAACAUUUAAGUAUGAAAGUAUGUGUUAAUGAAGCAGGACACACUACUGUGUACGUUCAUGGUUAGGAAGUUGCCCAGGACCAUUUUUUGUGAAACAAAAUUUCUAGAAACAAUGCAGUAUGUGCUGAUAGCAUGCGUCUCGUGUGAGAGAAAUGUCGUAAAAGCGAACGAGGACAGUGGACAGCUAGAGCACUCUCGCCGCUUCUUUAGCGGCCGCAUUGAGAUCGGGUGGUUUUGGAAACGUUCAAAAGAAGCACUGAGGGGGAGCGGUUCACUCUGACAAUUCAAGCAGAUCCGUGCGAUGUUAAUGUUUACGAUGCAAACAGAGAUGGCAUGAUAACAAUGGAUGAGCUCCAAGCGAUUUUCGGAGACGACCCCAAAACCCUGGAACUGGGUGAGGCGCUUGACAAAAACGAUGACGGUCAGGUGGACAAAGAAGAAUUCAAGGAGGACAUGCAUAAAUUUGUUGAAGGUUGUUAAACUGGCGUUGAAUUAUGCGUCCGCAGUUGUGUAAAACUUUUUUUGUAUACGUUUAUCUCAUACAGAAUUUUUAAUCAUAGCUGACUGCCUGUUUAUUUCGAAACUAUACUUUUACUAAAAGAGAUUUUUCUGGAAACAGCAAGCCCAACUGCUUCGUUAGAAAUGAAGACUUUGAACGUUUAAUAUGAUCAAUAUAUCUAAUAUAUUAUGAUGUGAAUGAUUUUAUAAUCAAUGUAAGCAUUUCUAUAUAUAAAAGCAAAUAUAUACGUUAUACUGUUUUGAGACAUUUUGACAUUUAUUGCUCUUAUAAGGCCAGAGUUCAAUCAUUUACCUUUAAUUCAUUUAAAAUUAAUUCUACUUUGCACACGCUUUUUUUGCCACCCAACUGAAUAAUGAAACGUCUCAAAUCAGCCAUUAAAUCAUAUGUGCAUAUGUUUGUUUUUUAAAAGAUUGAUAAAUACGCUUUCGUUAUGUGCAAAGAUACAUUCCAACUUUUAUGUGUGUUUUGUGAUAAUAUAUACAAAUCUCCAUGCACGUAAAUUACUUGUAAGAUUCUAAUCGAGAAUUUGAAAAAGGUUGGCGGGUGU